rnacentral:tRNA from 1 species
GCCUUCUUAGGUCAGUUAGUACAGCGCGCCACUAGUAAUGACGAGGUUAGUUGUUCAAAUCGGCUAGAAGGUA